rnacentral:rRNA from 1 species
UACGGAGGGGGCUAGCGUUGUUCGGAAUUACUGGGCGUAAAGCGCACGUAGGCGGAUCAGCCAGUCAGGGGUGAAAUCCCGGGGCUCAACCCCGGAACUGCCCUUGAUACUGCUGGUCUGGAGUUCGAGAGAGGCGAGUGGAAUUCCGAGUGUAGAGGUGAAAUUCGUAGAUAUUCGGAGGAACACCAGUGGCGAAGGCGGCUCGCUGGCUCGACACUGACGCUGAGGUGCGAAAGCGUGGGGAGCAAACAGG